GACGAACGCUGGCGGCGUGCUUAACACAUGCAAGUCGAACGGUAAGGCCCUUCGGGGUACACGAGUGGCGAACGGGUGAGUAACACGUGGUGAUCUGCCCUGCACUUCGGGAUAAGCCUGGGAAACUGGGUCUAAUACCGGAUAGGACCAUGGACUUCACGGUUUGUGGUGGAAAGCUUUUGCGGUGUGGGAUGGGCCCGCGGCCUAUCAGCUUGUUGGUGGGGUAAUGGCCUACCCAAGGCGACGACGGGGUAGCCGGCCUGAGAGGGUGUCCGGCCACACUGGGACUGAGAUACGGCCCAGACUCCUACGGGAGGCAGCAGUGGGGAAUAUUGCACAAUGGGCGGCAAGCCUGAUGCAGCGACGCCGCGUGAGGGAUGACGGCCUC
rnacentral:rRNA from 1 species